GCACUGUUGGGUUAGUGGUAAACUUGGUCGUUGCCAUCGUCUUCACGAUAUCGACCAGCCCCGUGUUCGAUUCACGGACAGUGCA
rnacentral:tRNA from 1 species